CCACUUUCGGGUUGGGAGUCGUUACCUUCUACCAUGCAACAUGUUUCUUAGGUGUCAGAAACCUUACCUCCCUUGUUAACAGUGAAUCCUCCUAAUUACCUUCUUAUUUCCAUUUAGUUAGACCUGAGUCUAACCAAAGCUAGGAGAACAUAAGUUGUGUAAAAUAGAACUAGAAUUUGAACUUGGACCUUUUGACUCUAAAGCUCGUGUUCUUUCUUCUACAGUAUCUUCCUUCUUCUGUUCUAUUAACCCAUUCCCUCUUGACACUCUCUGUAAAACAGCUAGCAAUCCUACUCCCAAGUCCACUCAUUUAUACUCAUACCGACAGUCAUCUGAAUAUGAAAACCUACGUUUAUGAUAAGAUUCCGUAAUACUUUUGAUAAUGUCUCAGCAAAAUAGUGCUAGAGAGAGUGGAAGUAGAGAUCAGUUCUUCUGAAUCCCAGCUGGAGACCCAAAGGAGAUACAGGCCCAGCUUUAACCAUACAGGCAACAAAAGUGCCCUAGGAAACAACAGAGCAAGAAAUUGGAAAGAACCUGGGUGAUUGUAAAUGGCACACCCUGGACUCUUAGAUGGCGCUGUGAGAACAACCCAGGAUUGGAGCUCGCGUUGAAUCCGCAAACGGACUUGUCUAUUGAGAAACAGCAACGCUGGCAACCAUUUACUACCAACAAGAGGCAGUUCCAAGAGAAGAAUAUAAAAUAUGCUCUGCUCAACCCCACGAAACUCAGAGUGUCUCACAAUGGCCAAUUUAUUAUUUUUACCCUGUCCAGUGACAUGGAAGGAUGCAUCAGGGAGCUGCUAGCCUCUGCGAUGAAUAACUUAAGUCAGGCUGCAACAUGUGAAAUAAUUCAGCUGACCAGGAUUUAUAACACUAGCUGGAUUUUUUGCUUUCUUUGGGGUUCAUGAAGCAUGGUGUUGUGAGAUACCACAGGAGUCCUGGAGUGAAGUUACAUGCCUAUUUCUCUUCCUUUAUUUUUUGGUAUUUUCAUAUUAUUUUAUUGCCUACUCCAAAUGUCUUCCUAAGCAGGGUCCAGCCUCCUAGGGGACACGUCUCUUCUGAUUUUGAAAAUUAGA
rnacentral:lncRNA from 1 species